AACAUCCAGCUGGUGGCAGACGGCUGCUGUAACCUCCAGAAGCAAAUUCAGAUCACUCAGCUCUUUGGGGUUCCCGUUGUGGUGGCUCUGAAUGUCUUCAAGACCGACACCCGCGCUGAGAUUGACUUGGUGUGUGAGCUUGCAAAGCGGGCUGGUGCCUUUGAUGCAGUCCCCUGCUAUCACUGGUCCGUUGGUGGAAAAGGAUCGGUGGACUUGGCUCGGGCUGUGAGAGAGGCUGCGAGUAAAAGAAGCCGAUUCCAGUUCCUGUAUGAUGUUCAGCCAUUCUCUUGAUCCCAGUGGGGGCUGGAUGAAGGAAGAGCAAAACAAACCACGAAGACAGCCUGGAGCCGCAGCCAGCUCUGCUGACUUCUGAACUUCACGCUCUCACUGCCCAGAUGGCCAGGGGUGUUUCCUCCUCUGCUGGUCUUUUUUAAGGCAGGAUGUUUGUUGUUAUUGUUGUUGUUUUUCUGGUUGGUUCUUAAGAAAUUAUUUUCUACAUCUUGAAAAUGCCAGCUGGAACCUACACCAGUUGUUGGUGGGGUGUGAGAACUAUCCUUUACAUGGACUUGGAGCAUUUGCAACUAGAGCCUCCACAUUGAAAUAAAC
rnacentral:lncRNA from 1 species